GAGGGUACAGCUCAAGUGGUAGAGUGUGUGGUUAGCAUGCAUGCAGUCCUGGGUUCAAUCCCCAGUACUUCCA
rnacentral:tRNA from 1 species